UACGAAGGGAGCUAGCGUUGUUCGGAAUUACUGGGCGUAAAGGGCGCGUAGGCGGCUUCGCUAGUUGGGCGUGAAAUGCCUGGGCUUAACCCAGGAAUUGCGCCCAAUACUUCGAGGCUCGAGUGUGGGAGAGGAUAGUGGAAUUCCCAGUGUAGAGGUGAAAUUCGUAGAUAUUGGGAAGAACACCAGCGGCGAAGGUGGCUAUCUGGACCACAACUGACGCUGAGGCGCGAAAGCCGUGGGGAGCAAACAGGG
rnacentral:rRNA from 1 species